CAGAGUUCGUGCCCUUAUGGGUAGAUCUCCCACCCUUGCGUAUUCAUACCUUUGUUGCUUUGGCAGGCCGCCUGGGCUCAGGCCUGGCCACCGGCUCCCGGGCUGGUGCGUGCCUGCCAGAGGAUCUCCAAACUCCAGUUAUCAGUGUUGUCUGAGUACGAUACAAUCGUUA
rnacentral:misc_RNA from 1 species